GUCAGUUAACUUAAAUAACCCAGGGUUGAUGACGUAUGGACCCUGCAUUUGGGAGUGCGACGACAUCAGCAGGCUGAAACCAGUCUCUCGAGCUGAAAGAAAACGCAGCUGAGGAGAUAUGAGGUAAGACUUAUCCGGCAACAUUACAUUUAUAAUGUCUUUAAUUUAAUUAUAGUGUUAGCAUUGUGAACCAAAAUUAAUUUAAAAGUGUGUAUUUUUGUAUUUAUUGGCGCGAUAUUCGUUUAAAUCUCUCGUUUUUUUCUCUUGCUCGCUUACGUUGCUGCCUGAGGAAACGGACAUAAAGUUAAGCCAGCCGAUUCGAAAGAAAACACAGUAACACACAUUUUUCAUAAUUUUAAGAUUUUUCUGAACUUCAUUGGAGGUCAAACUGCAGAAACUAUAACGUUAGAUUGUUAAUAGCCUAAUUUGAAGUGUUAUACCCGACUUUUGGGAGCAUAUUGUAUGUCUUAUCUGGCGACAUUACAUUUAUAACGUCUGUUAUUUGAUUAAAGAGUACCUAACGUUAGCAUUGCUGAAUUCAAAAUAGUUUGAAAUUUUGUAUAUAUAUAUAUAUAUAUAUUAGUAUUAUAAUAUUCUCGCACUGUAUUAAGAUAUUUCGAGAUCUUACUCGUUCUUUUAUUCACCUCUUUUUUUCCUUUCAGACUGCAGACAAGAGCCAUCGACCAUCGUUCCAGGAAACUUCCACCUAAACAGAUGCUGAGGGCCAGAUUUCCCUGCCAAGCACUCCAAGGCUCAUCAUGCUCGGAGAGUCCAUUCUGGGGGCAAAAAAUGGAUGCUUUCCAUCGAGGGCAGAGUUCUCCUCCAAUUGAGUGACCGUUGUGAUUUCACUUCUGCUCUAGCCAUGUAUGAUGCAGCCACUACAUUGGAAUUUAUCCAGAGGUUGGCACUUAUUUGUUUUUUAUAUAGUUUUGACUAGAAAUGGGAACAAAUAUUUGAGUACUCAUUCUUUAACCAACUACCCGAUUGGUAAAAUACUUCUUAAAGUGUUUAUUUUUGUUUAUAUCAACUGUUGUGCUAUUGUUAAACAUCAAACGUUUAAUUUAACUCACCAUGCAAAUGGUAGAAAAGCAGCACAGCUAGUCUAAUGCAAGUGGCGGCCGGUGACUUCUUUUUUCGAGGGCGCACGAUGCGAAGUUUGUCACAACAUGUAUGUAGCCCGUCAUGUGUGUGGUUUGUGAUUUCAAAUAUGUGUUUGGCGCGUCGAGUGAAACAAUACUUUUCCAUUCACAAAUCAACAAAUAUUUACCAUAAAUUUCACUGUUGUAUCACUAACUGUAAACAUGGUAUUGUGGCAGAAAUGUGGGAUAUUCAUGUAUAAUUUUAUAAUAGUAUUAAAGGCGGAGUGCACAAUGUUUGAAAGCCAAUGUUGAUAUUUGAAAUCACCUAAACAAACACGCCCCUACCCUAAUAGAAUCUGGACCCUCUUUUAAAAGACCCGCCUCACACAUACGCAACCCAGCAAGGAUGUCGGUUAGUAGACACGCUCCUUACUGCUGAUUGGCUUUAAGUGUGUUUUGGUAGUCGGCCCGUCUCCUUUUCCAAAGCGUUUUUCAAACAUUGUGCACUCCGCCUUUAAU